AUGAACGCUGGCGGCGUGCCUAAGACAUGCAAGUCGAGUGGGUUUAGACCCACGGCGAACGGGUGAGUAAUACCUAGGAACUUUUCUUUAGUGGAGCAUAUCCUACCGAAAGGUAGAGCAAUUCUCCAUGUGACCGCAAGGUUAAAGUCGCAAGACGCUAAAGGUGAGGCCUGGGCACCAUCAGCUAGUUGGUAAGGUAAUGGCUUACCAAGGCUAUGACGGUUAGGGGCCCCGAGAGGGGA
rnacentral:rRNA from 1 species